GACGUAGGGCGCGAGCGUUGUCCGGAUUUAUUGGGCGUAAAGAGCUCGUAGGCGGUUUGUCGCGUCGUUCGUGAAAACUCACAGCUUAACUGUGAGCUUGCGGUCGAUACGGGCAGGCUAGAGUUCGGUAGGGGAGACUGGAAUUCCUGGUGUAGCGGUGAAAUGCGUAGAUAUCUGGAGGAACACCGGUGGCGAAGGCGGCAUCCUGGACCGAGAUUGACGCUGAGGCGCGAAAGCCAGGGGAGCAAACGGG
rnacentral:rRNA from 1 species